rnacentral:rRNA from 1 species
AGAAGCUAGUAAGGGCGCAGGGAGGAUGCCUUGGGGCAAAGAGCCGAGGAAGGGCGCAGCAAGCGGCGAAACGCUCCGGGAAGCUGCAAGCAAGCGUUGAACCGGAGGUGCCCGAAUGGGGGAACCCGCUAUUCCGAAGGGAUAGCACCACUGGGAAGUGGGGGCAAGCGGGCGAACUGAAACAUCUUAGUAGCCCGAGGAAGAGAAAGCAAAAGCGAUUCUCCUAGUAGCGGCGAGCGAAAGGGGAGGAGCCCAAACCGGCAUGGAGCGACUGGGUGCACCCUUUAUCCAUGCGGGGGUAGAGGGACCGUCCAGCGGCGGGUGCACGAGCCGCGGGCGGCCGAAGGCCGAAGUCGAAGCUCUCUGGAAAGGGACGCCAAAGAGGGUGAGAGGCCCGUAGGCGAAAGGCAAAAGGCAGCCGGACGGCACCCAAGUACCACGGGACACGAGGAACCCUGUGGGAAUCAGGGAGGACCACCUCCUAAGGCUAAACACUCUUUGCCACCGAUAGCGGAAAGUACCGCGAGGGAACGGUGAAAAGCACCCCGGGAGGGGAGUGAAAGAGAGCCUGAAACCCUGCGCCCACAAGCAGUGGGAGCCCCGAAAGGGGUGACUGCGUGCCUUUUGCAGAAUGAACCGGCGAGUUGCCAUUGGCGGCCGAAAGGUUAAGCGACUGAGAGUGGCGGAGCCGAAGCGAAAGCGAGUCCGAAUGGGGCGAGGCCGAAAGGCUAGGUCGCAGGUGGCAGACCCGAAACCAGGUGAUCUACCCAUGGCCAGGGUGAAGGCCCGGUAAAGCGGGUUGGAGGCCCGAACCGGUGUCGGUUGAAAACGGCUCGGAGGAGCUGUGGGUAGGGGUGAAAUGCCAAUCGAACCUGGAGAUAGCUGGUUCUCCCCGAAAUGCAUUUAGGUGCAGCCUUGCGCGGUGACUGCUGGGGGUAGAGCACUGGAUGGGCUAGGGGCCACACCAGGUUACCGAACUCAACCAAACUCCGAAUGCCAGCAGGCGAGCGCGGGAGUGAGACAGUGGGGGAUAAGCUUCAUUGUCGAGAGGGGAACAGCCCGGACCGCCGGCUAAGGUCCCAAAUGCCAGGCUAAGUGUGAAAGGAUGUGGGAGCGCGUAAACAACCAGGAUGUUGGCUUAGAAGCAGCCAUCAUUUAAAGAGUGCGUAACAGCUUACUGGUCGAAAGUGCACCUGCGCCGACAAUGUAAGGGGGCUAUGCCUGGAACCGAAGCCGCGGAAGGCGGCGAAAGCCGCUUUGGUAGGGGAGCGUUGCGCGGUAGGGAGAAGGGGGAGCGGGAGCUCUCCUGGACGAGGCGCAAGAGAGGAUGCCGGUAUGAGUAGCGAGAAGAGGGGUGAGAAUCCCCUCCGCCGAAAGCCCAAGGUUUCUUAAGGAAGGUUCGUCCUCUUGAGGUUAGUCGGGCCUAAGGGUAAGGCAAAGGCCGAAUCCGAUGGACAGCGGGUUGACAAUCCCGCACCAGUGGCGUGCGUUAGAGCGAGGCGGGGACGCCGAAAGGGAGUGCAAGCGCGCGGUUGGAAGUGCGCGCUCUUGCCAGAGGGAGAAGCAGGGCAGUAAAGCACGUCCUGCCACGCUUCCGGUGGCGAGAGGAAGGAAGGGGAAACCCGGAACGAACUGCGCGAACGAUCGGCCGAGAAAAGCCGCUAGCAAGCAUGGCACUGACCGUACUGGAAACCGACACAGGUGGGCGAGGAGAGGAUCCUAAGGCGCGCGAGAGAACUCUCGUUAAGGAACUAGGCAAGUUGACCCCGUAACUUAGGGAGAAGGGGUGCCCCGGCAGGAAGGGGGAUGAGACGCCCCCCGGGGGCCGGGGUCGCAGCAAAGAGGCUCGAGCGACUGUUUACCAAAAACACAGGUCCCUGCGAAGGAGAGAUCCGAAGUAUAGGGGCUGACGCCUGCCCAAUGCCAGAAGGUUAAGGGGAGGGGUAAGCGCAAGCGAAGCCCUGAACAUAAGCCCUGGUGAAUGGCGGCCGUAACUAUAACGGUCCUAAGGUAGCGAAAUUCCUUGUCGGGUAAGUUCCGACCUGCACGAAAGGCGUAACGACUUGAGCGCUGU